rnacentral:SRP_RNA from 1 species
GCCGGGCGCGGUGGUUCACGCCUGUAAUCCCAGCACUCUGGGAGGCCGAGGUGGGCGGAUCACCUGAGGUCAGGAGUUCAAGACCAGCCUGACCAACAUGGUGAAACCCCAUCUCUA